UACGUAGGGUGCAAGCGUUGUCCGGAAUUAUUGGGCGUAAAGAGCUCGUAGGCGGUUUGUCGCGUCUGCUGUGAAACGCGGGGCUCAACUCCGCGCCUGCAGUGGGUACGGGCAGACUAGAGUGCAGUAGGGGAGACUGGAAUUCCUGGUGUAGCGGUGGAAUGCGCAGAUAUCAGGAGGAACACCGGUGGCGAAGGCGGGUCUCUGGGCUGUAACUGACGCUGAGGAGCGAAAGCGUGGGGAGCGAACAGG
rnacentral:rRNA from 1 species